GUGCUGAAUUCAUAGGCAUGCAAGGUGAACCUGGAGAACUGAAACAUCUAAGUAUCCAGAGGAAAAGAAAUCACCGAGAUUCCGCUAGUAGUGGCGAGCGAAAGCGGAACAGCCCAGAGUCAGCAUUCGAU
rnacentral:lncRNA from 1 species